rnacentral:tRNA from 1 species
GUGGGGGUAGCGAAGUGGCCAAACGCGAUGGACUCAAGAUCCAUUCCCUUAGUGGGUUCCGGGGUUCGAAUCCUCGCCCCCACA